rnacentral:lncRNA from 1 species
AUAAUAUAAGAAAUAAUAUAAUAAAUAUAAUAAACAAUAUAAUAAUAUAUAAACAAUGUCCUGUAAUAAAUAGGAUUGAUAAAUUGUAUUUUUCAUCUGAGAAUCCAUUACCCUGCAGUAAACCUGGAUGCUCCCAAGUGCUUUUGUUAUUGGCAUAACGUGUUAACUGAAUCAGCAAAUAGGUUUCAAUUGGAUAAUCACCUUCAUGGCUAUUACUGGCGUUCAAGAUGAAAUAUAUAUGAAAUGUAUAGGGUGUGUAAUUGACCUGCCUAAUCAGUAGUUUGAAUUCGAUUCAACUUCUGAGUCUAUAAUCAAUUCAAAUAUGUUGAACUUGGAAGUACUGGCAAGUUGAAAUGGCGAUCAGAUCCGUGCCAUCGUUGAGCCAUGUAACACGAACUGACAAUUGUGCAAAUUUACGGUGCAAUCAGAAAAUAACUUUCAUAAGCAUAAACUAAAAAAUAAUACUUUUGGAUAAUUAUGGCUUGUAAAACCAGAAGUAUCACAGAUGUUUACCAGAAGUUAACCUCAGUCUGAGAAUAAACUCGUGUACCUGUUUGUUUCACGUAAAUUUAGGGAUAUAAAGAUUUGUGAUCGUUUGAUAGCUUUUGAAUCACCUGCAGUUCAGAUGCAUUUGAGUGUGGCUCAAGAAACUGUCUUGUGACUACAGAAGGCACCACAUGGGCUUGCAGUUUCCUUGGACUGCAGAAUCCUAAAGGGAGUGAAAUGACCCUAUUCAAUUCCCCAGUGCAGGUACACAGGAUUAAAGGAAACACCUGAUUUGCACAUCUGUUUCUUUUCAAAUGGAAAUGAAGUGGAGGAUAGUAAGCUUUUGAAUGCAGUGGUGCUGUUUGCUUGUUUGUUUCAAAACUCAGGCAAAAAAAAAAUGGGAAUAAUAAGACAUCCAGCAUCCAACUCUGUGUCGCAUUCAAGGAGAAGGAGUUUAGAUUCCUCUCCAAAAUGUAUGCUUUUCUGAGAAAGUCAGAAGAGUUAAUGAAAAAAGUCCCAAUUCUGAAGACUGAGAAACUCUG